CAGUCGCCACGGUAAUACAGAGGGUGCGAGCGUUAAUCGGAUUUACUGGGCGUAAAGCGUGCGUAGGCGGCUCCUUAAGUCGGAUGUGAAAUCCCUGAGCUUAACUUAGGAAUUGCAUUCGAUACUGGGAAGCUAGAGUAUGGGAGAGGAUGGUAGAAUUCCAGGUGUAGCGGUGAAAUGCGUAGAGAUCUGGAGGAAUACCGAUGGCGAAGGCAGCCAUCUGGCCUAAUACUGACGCUGAGGUACGAAAGCAUGGGGAGCAAACAGGAUUAGAUACCCGGGUAGUCCCUGUCUCUUAUAC
rnacentral:rRNA from 1 species